GUGCGUUACAUUUCAUUCAGUUUGUUCGACUCAAGUCCGAUCGACUUGGCCGGAAGCCCUCCGAAGGCCCUAAAGCCUGUGUGUUUUGGGGCAGCAGUCGCGGGUCGCCGCCAAGUUCCUCCAAGAGAGGGAGAAGGCCCACCGGAACCCGCAAGGUGGCCAUUCAACUGGAUCGAGGGCGCCAACCCUCCAGCUUGCCGCCUCUGCCUUUCGCAACCUCGUCGACGACUCCUUUGAUCCCUUCGAACACCGGGCCGGACGGUGGUUGAUUGAUGCUUUGGGUAUUCAUGGUCGAGCAUGAGCUUGCAUUACUUGUCUAUCACUGAGUUCACUCACUCUUUUCUACAUUUGAACUUCAUUCACUGAUUUCUGAAAUGGGUGCUCUAUGAAAAGAGAUUUGAUUUUGUAAGCCUUCUGAAUAAUGCAACUGCAAUGACAAAUCCACUGAGUCUCAGAAAUCUCCUUCGAGGAGUAUCUAGUCCAGGAUCUGCCAUCCAUCAGGGUCGCAUCCACCUCAAUGGACGAGCGAUGUGACUCAAAUGAGAUAGCAAAGAAAGCCUGGAGAAAGAUCGUCGGUAAUCGUGCGACCCCUCAGUACUAUCUCAGGAAGCUGCCUACGGUCCAACCUUUUGCAAGUGCUAAAGAGCAAAGCUUUUCUAAGCCAUCAAGAAUCAUGAACAGGAGGAGCCCUCUGCAUCUGUUUUGCAUCCCUGUGAAUGAUCACCACCUUAGCAAGUAUAUUCAUGCUCAUGUUUUUAGAGGAAGGUAACUGUUCAGUGAUGUUUCCUCUUACUUUUUUGAGCAUUUCCAUGCAGAGACUGAGGUCAAACUGCAUUUACUCAUACUGUGAAUUUUGCUUCUAGUUUUUAUCCUUUUGUUCUCAGUGGUGGGUUUUGAGUCUCCCUCGGACAUUCUUUGGGUGCAUCAGACACUUUUGUUGUGCUUCCUAUCAUAGAAAUUUGUCACGAUUU